rnacentral:rRNA from 1 species
GGGUUGUGAGGUUAAGCGACUAAGCGUACACGGUGGAUGCCCUGGCAGUCAGAGGCGAUGAAGGACGUGCUAAUCUGCGAUAAGCGUCGGUAAGGUGAUAUGAACCGUUAUAACCGGCGAUUUCCGAAUGGGGAAACCCAGUGUGAUUCGUCACACUAUCAUUAACUGAAUCCAUAGGUUAAUGAGGCGAACCGGGGGAACUGAAACAUCUAAGUACCCCGAGGAAAAGAAAUCAACCGAGAUUCCCCCAGUAGCGGCGAGCGAACGGGGAGGAGCCCAGAGCCUGAAUCAGUGUGUGUGUUAGUGGAAGCGUCUGGAAAGGCGCGCGAUACAGGGUGACAGCCCCGUACACAAAAAUGCACAUGCUGUGAGCUCGAUGAGUAGGGCGGGACACGUGGUAUCCUGUCUGAAUAUGGGGGGACCAUCCUCCAAGGCUAAAUACUCCUGACUGACCGAUAGUGAACCAGUACCGUGAGGGAAAGGCGAAAAGAACCCCGGCGAGGGGAGUGAAAAAGAACCUGAAACCGUGUACGUACAAGCAGUGGGAGCACAGAGCAAUCUGUGUGACUGCGUACCUUUUGUAUAAUGGGUCAGCGACUUAUAUUCUGUAGCAAGGUUAACCGAAUAGGGGAGCCGAAGGGAAACCGAGUCUUAACUGGGCGUUAAGUUGCAGGGUAUAGACCCGAAACCCGGUGAUCUAGCCAUGGGCAGGUUGAAGGUUGGGUAACACUAACUGGAGGACCGAACCGACUAAUGUUGAAAAAUUAGCGGAUGACUUGUGGCUGGGGGUGAAAGGCCAAUCAAACCGGGAGAUAGCUGGUUCUCCCCGAAAGCUAUUUAGGUAGCGCCUCGUGAAUUCAUCUCCGGGGGUAGAGCACUGUUUCGGCAAGGGGGUCAUCCCGACUUACCAACCCGAUGCAAACUGCGAAUACCGGAGAAUGUUAUCACGGGAGACACACGGCGGGUGCUAACGUCCGUCGUGAAGAGGGAAACAACCCAGACCGCCAGCUAAGGUCCCAAAGUCAUGGUUAAGUGGGAAACGAUGUGGGAAGGCCCAGACAGCCAGGAUGUUGGCUUAGAAGCAGCCAUCAUUUAAAGAAAGCGUAAUAGCUCACUGGUCGAGUCGGCCUGCGCGGAAGAUGUAACGGGGCUAAACCAUGCACCGAAGCUGCGGCAGCGACACUGUGUGUUGUUGGGUAGGGGAGCGUUCUGUAAGCCUGUGAAGGUGUGCUGUGAGGCAUGCUGGAGGUAUCAGAAGUGCGAAUGCUGACAUAAGUAACGAUAAAGCGGGUGAAAAGCCCGCUCGCCGGAAGACCAAGGGUUCCUGUCCAACGUUAAUCGGGGCAGGGUGAGUCGACCCCUAAGGCGAGGCCGAAAGGCGUAGUCGAUGGGAAACAGGUUAAUAUUCCUGUACUUGGUGUUACUGCGAAGGGGGGACGGAGAAGGCUAUGUUGGCCGGGCGACGGUUGUCCCGGUUUAAGCGUGUAGGCUGGUUUUCCAGGCAAAUCCGGAAAAUCAAGGCUGAGGCGUGAUGACGAGGCACUACGGUGCUGAAGCAACAAAUGCCCUGCUUCCAGGAAAAGCCUCUAAGCAUCAGGUAACAUCAAAUCGUACCCCAAACCGACACAGGUGGUCAGGUAGAGAAUACCAAGGCGCUUGAGAGAACUCGGGUGAAGGAACUAGGCAAAAUGGUGCCGUAACUUCGGGAGAAGGCACGCUGAUAUGUAGGUGAAGUCCCUCGCGGAUGGAGCUGAAAUCAGUCGAAGAUACCAGCUGGCUGCAACUGUUUAUUAAAAACACAGCACUGUGCAAACACGAAAGUGGACGUAUACGGUGUGACGCCUGCCCGGUGCCGGAAGGUUAAUUGAUGGGGUCAGCGCAAGCGAAGCUCUUGAUCGAAGCCCCGGUAAACGGCGGCCGUAACUAUAACGGUCCUAAGGUAGCGAAAUUCCUUGUCGGGUAAGUUCCGACCUGCACGAAUGGCGUAAUGAUGGCCAGGCUGUCUCCACCCGAGACUCAGUGAAAUUGAACUCGCUGUGAAGAUGCAGUGUACCCGCGGCAAGACGGAAAGACCCCGUGAACCUUUACUAUAGCUUGACACUGAACAUUGAGCCUUGAUGUGUAGGAUAGGUGGGAGGCUUUGAAGUGUGGACGCCAGUCUGCAUGGAGCCGACCUUGAAA